ensembl:lncRNA
CUUGCCUCCUUAAUAUUAUCGCUUAAUACCUCUAAAGCAUUAUGGUUAGAUGAACCCUGCCUCUCUAAAGCAUUUCUCUCCGUUGUAGAUCAGCAGUUGUUUGGGUUGUGAGCAGAGCAGGGGGCGUGUCAGGAGCAAGGGGCGUGUCUGGUCCGGCUUCGGCUCGCUAUUGGCAGAUGGCUUGCCUGGUAACCAACCAACGCUAACAACAACACGGUGCAAAUUAAAUUACAUUCUCCAGAACGACACGAAAAUAACGAAUAAUAAUUAAAAAAAAUACUUCGCAUAAUGGGGAAAUGGUCAGGAAUAAUGACCGAAACUGAAGAACGGUAAGCAUCAUCCAUCCAUAACACAACCCUGAAGAACGGUGGCUCACUCUGGAUGAUGGGUCCCUGAACAUCAUCUAACCCCAACCCUACUAUGGAUAGCGAGGUGUUGUAGCCUGUCACACUGAAUUUUUGACAAAGUUGUAAUAACCUGGGAUGACAGACGGAUAGUGGGAAAGUGACAGCAUGCGGCGGCUACUCUCUGGCGUGUGACGCUAGUGAAGGUGAAAACGCACGAAGCACGUCGUUACGUAUGCACGCAGUAAAGUCAACGUUCAAGUGGAUGGUGUGGGCUGAGGGGAAAAUAUAGCAG